rnacentral:rRNA from 1 species
GAUGAACGCUGACAGAAUGCUUAACACAUGCAAGUCUACUUGAAUUUGGGUUUUUUAACUUCGAUUUGGGUGGCGGACGGGUGAGUAACGCGUAAAGAACUUGCCUCACAGCUAGGGACAACAUUUGGAAACGAAUGCUAAUACCUGAUAUUAUGAUUAUAGGGCAUCCUAGAAUUAUGAAAGCUAUAUGCGCUGUGAGAGAGCUUUGCGUCCCAUUAGCUAGUUGGAGAGGUAACGGCUCACCAAGGCGAUGAUGGGUAGCCGGCCUGAGAGGGUGAACGGCCACAAGGGGACUGAGACACGGCCCUUACUCCUACGGGAGGCAGCAGUGGGGAAUAUUGGACAAUGGACCGAGAGUCUGAUCCAGCAAUUCUGUGUGCACGAUGACGUUUUUCGGAAUGUAAAGUGCUUUCAGUUGGGAAGAAAAAAAUGACGGUACCAACAGAAGAAGUGACGGCUAAAUACGUGCCAGCAGCCGCGGUAAUACGUAUGUCACGAGCGUUAUCCGGAUUUAUUGGGCGUAAAGCGCGUCUAGGUAGUUAUGUAAGUCUGAUGUGAAAAUGCAGGGCUCAACUCUGUAUUGCGUUGGAAACUGUGUAACUAGAGUACUGGAGAGGUAAGCGGAACUACAAGUGUAGAGGUGAAAUUCGUAGAUAUUUGUAGGAAUGCCGAUGGGGAAGCCAGCUUACUGGACAGAUACUGACGCUGAAGCGCGAAAGCGUGGGUAGCAAACAGG